CACUUUGGCAAUAAUGUAUUCUUUAAAAAUUAAUUUUGUUUUAGAAUCCCAUUCGAGAUAACCGUCCAAUUAUUAAUGCUUAUCAAGACCCAAACAGUUUUAAUUGGAAUGAAAACCCCCGAUCACCAAUAACACCAAUAUCACCAAGAUCUCCAUCUAAUUUCAACAACUACAAUUACGUUCCGGAUGAUGAUCCGAAUUAUCAUCGUUCGGUGUCUCAACUUCAAGAACCACCGAGGCGUUACAUUCCGUCAGAACCUGCAAUCCCAGGCAGACAACAACAAAAACAACGAGCUCCUCAAGCACCAAAUCAAAUGCAAAGAGAUUACAGAGAUAAUAAUAAUAUGAGAGAUCCUCGUAAUAUUUCUCCUCAAAUUCCGGCUCCCGAUUAUGAUAAUCCUAGAAGGGGUGAAUUGGAAAGAAUGCCAAGAUCGGCAUUAAAAACUAAAAGUUAUUAUUAAAACUAACUAUUAUAAUGAAGGAGAAGAAAUUAGAGAAAAAUGGUUUUUAUUUUUUUAGUUUUGUAGAUUUAAAUUAUAUGUAGCUUUGUAGUUUUAUUGCAAUUUUUAUGUUACAGUAUUUUUUGUGGUUUAUUAUUUGUAAUGAUUAAUAUAACUAAGUUCUAUGUUGAAACAAAUUUUGAAUCGAGAUGAAAGAAAUUAGCUUUCUGAUCUAUCUUGUUUGAGUGUUUAAAUAAUAAUUUAACUGAUUUUCACACAAUUCAGUCAAUUUUUAGAUAUUGUCAAAUAAAUUAAAAUUAUUAGGUCGAUUAUUAAAUUAUUAAAAAAUCAAAAAUUCAUUUUUCUUUUGUAUAAAUUGUUGGAUUAGUUUCAAAAACAUAUUGUAGCUUUUUUUCUCCAUUUUGGAAGAUAUGACUGGUUCUACUUUAUUGCGAUUUUAUGUUUUGGAAAGCUUAGUAUGAUUCAAAUACAAAGUUUUCAAAAUCCUUGAAACUUACGAAAUCAUUAGUUUUAUGAUAAACAUGGAUAAUAAAUUCUUUUCAUAUCAAUCA